rnacentral:rRNA from 1 species
GAUGAACGCUGGCGGCGUGCCUAAUACAUGCAAGUCGAGCGAACGGACGAGAAGCUUGCUUCUCUGAUGUUAGCGGCGGACGGGUGAGUAACACGUGGAUAACCUACCUAUAAGACUGGGAUAACUUCGGGAAACCGGAGCUAAUACCGGAUAAUAUUUUGAACCGCAUGGUUCAAAAGUGAAAGACGGUCUUGCUGUCACUUAUAGAUGGAUCCGCGCUGCAUUAGCUAGUUGGUAAGGUAACGGCUUACCAAGGCAACGAUGCAUAGCCGACCUGAGAGGGUGAUCGGCCACACUGGAACUGAGACACGGUCCAGACUCCUACGGGAGGCAGCAGUAGGGAAUCUUCCGCAAUGGGCGAAAGCCUGACGGGGCAACGCCGCGUGAGUGAUGAAGGUCUUCGGAUCGUAAAACUCUGUUAUUAGGGAAGAACAUAUGUGUAAGUAACUGUGCACAUCUUGACGGUACCUAAUCAGAAAGCCACGGCUAACUACGUGCCAGCAGCCGCGGUAAUACGUAGGUGGCAAGCGUUAUCCGGAAUUAUUGGGCGUAAAGCGCGCGUAGGCGGUUUUUUAAGUCUGAUGUGAAAGCCCACGGCUCAACCGUGGAGGGUCAUUGGAAACUGGAAAACUUGAGUGCAGAAGAGGAAAGUGGAAUUCCAUGUGUAGCGGUGAAAUGCGCAGAGAUAUGGAGGAACACCAGUGGCGAAGGCGACUUUCUGGUCUGUAACUGACGCUGAUGUGCGAAAGCGUGGGGAUCAAACAGGAUUAGAUACCCUGGUAGUCCACGCCGUAAACGAUGAGUGCUAAGUGUUAGGGGGUUUCCGCCCCUUAGUGCUGCAGCUAACGCAUUAAGCACUCCGCCUGGGGAGUACGACCGCAAGGUUGAAACUCAAAGGAAUUGACGGGGACCCGCACAAGCGGUGGAGCAUGUGGUUUAAUUCGAAGCAACGCGAAGAACCUUACCAAAUCUUGACAUCCUUUGACAACUCUAGAGAUAGAGCCUUCCCCUUCGGGGGACAAAGUGACAGGUGGUGCAUGGUUGUCGUCAGCUCGUGUCGUGAGAUGUUGGGUUAAGUCCCGCAACGAGCGCAACCCUUAAGCUUAGUUGCCAUCAUUAAGUUGGGCACUCUAAGUUGACUGCCGGUGACAAACCGGAGGAAGGUGGGGAUGACGUCAAAUCAUCAUGCCCCUUAUGAUUUGGGCUACACACGUGCUACAAUGGACAAUACAAAGGGCAGCGAAACCGCGAGGUCAAGCAAAUCCCAUAAAGUUGUUCUCAGUUCGGAUUGUAGUCUGCAACUCGACUACAUGAAGCUGGAAUCGCUAGUAAUCGUAGAUCAGCAUGCUACGGUGAAUACGUUCCCGGGUCU